rnacentral:rRNA from 1 species
CCGCAAGGCUAAAACCCAAAGGAAUUGACGGGGGCUUACACAAGCGGUGGAGCAUGUGGUUUAAUUCGAAACAACGCGCAAAACCUUACCAAUCCUUGACAUAUGAAAAACCAGGGUGUUUACCCGCUCUGUCUCUUUUAUACAGGCGCUGCAUGGCUGUCGUCAGUUCGUGGUGUGAGCUGUUGGGUUAAGUCCCAGAACGAACGCAACCCUCCUUUGAGAUGAAGGUUUACCUUUUUCAAAGACUGCCAAGGAUAUCUUGGAGGAAGGUGAGGAUGACGUCAAGUCCGCAUGGCCCUUAUGGGUUGGGCUACACACGUGCUACAAUGGGAAUGACAAAAGGAGGCAACAUGGCAACAUUGAGCAAAUCCCAAAAAGUUUCCUUAGUUCGGAUUGUUCUCUGCAACUCGAGAACAUGAAGUUGGAAUCGCUAGUAAUCGUAGAUCAGCACGCUACGGUGAAUUUGUAUCUAAGCCUUGUACACACCGCCCGUCACACUCUGAAAAUUUUCAUGCCUUGAAGCAAAAGAAGUUCACCAAGAACACACAGCGCAAUUAAAAAAAAACAUCUUCCCUUUUUUUUCUGUGUCUUUGUUGGAACCUUUUCUAGAGUUAGGGAGGUGAUUGGAGUG